rnacentral:lncRNA from 1 species
CUUCUUUCAUCUAUAUACAGUGCAAUUAAUAUAUAAACAAUAAAAAAAUAUUAUAUACAAUAUAAAUAGUAUAAUAUAAUAAAAUAAUAAAUAUACAUUAUAUAAUUAUAUAUGCGUUAAUUAUAUUAUAAUAUAUAUUAUAAUAAAAUAUAAUAUACUACAUAAAAAAAAACUAUAUUAUUAUAAUAUAUAUUUUAUGUCACUACAACAGAAUUAGGUUAUAGCGACAUAUGUUUGGAACUCAUUUGUAUAAGUGUCACAUUUAUGUCAAAACUUAAAAAAAAACCUACUAAUGCCUAAAUAUAAAGUCCAAUCCAACUAAAAAUAAAAGGGUACUCUACUCAAUCCAUUCCACACAGCCCAUUCGGCCCGAUUGCAAACAGAAAAGAAAAAAAAAAAAAGAAAAAGAAAAGAAUAAUCGAUUACCAUUUCCCCUUCUCCUCUCACUCAAUCGACUGAAAUCCUAGAUGAAAAUCCUUUCCUCUCGUCCUCCUCCGCCACUACAGCCAACAAGGUAGGGUUCCGGCGGUUGUUAGAUGCUUAAAUAAAUGUUGGUAAAUUAGCAGCACUUUUUUAGAUCAUAGCGACACUCUUUAACUGUCACUAUAUACCUAGCGACCCCACAUAUAGCAACAUUUUUUAAAAGUGUCGGUAAUUUAUCCAGCAACAUUUUUUUUGAUCUAUACCGAUAUUUAAAAGUGUCGCUAUAGACCGUUUUUAUUGUAGUGUGUAUUAUACGUUAAACUACUUUUCCAAUUACAUUUUUCUUUCCUUGGAAAAAACUUUUCUAUAGU